rnacentral:rRNA from 1 species
UACGUAGGGGGCAAGCGUUGUCCGGAAUCAUUGGGCGUAAAGCGCGUGUAGGCGGUUCAGUAAGUCUGCUGUGAAAGUCCAGGGCUCAACCCUGGGAUGCCGGUGGAUACUGCUGGGCUAGAGUACGGAAGAGGCGAGUGGAAUUCCCGGUGUAGCGGUGAAAUGCGCAGAUAUCGGGAGGAACACCGAUGGCGAAGGCAGGUCUCUGGGCUGACACUGACGCUCAUGCACGAAAGCGUGGGGAGCAAACAGG